rnacentral:rRNA from 1 species
UACGAAGGGGGCUAGCGUUGCUCGGAAUUACUGGGCGUAAAGGGCGCGUAGGUGGUUUGAUAAGGGUGUGGUGAAAGUCCGGGGCUCAACCCCGGAUCUGCCGUGCCGACUGUCAAACUCGAGGGCUGUAGAGGCAGACGGAAUUCCGGGUGUAGCGGUGGAAUGCGUAGAGAUCCGGAGGAAGACCGGUGGCGAAGGCGGUCUGCUGGGCAGUUUCUGACACUGAGGCGCGACAACGUGGGGAGCAAACAGG